ensembl:lncRNA
AGACAGAACUAAUACAGUUUUUAGCAGUCUUUGCUACAGGGGAGAAAGCAAGAGUACCCAGAAUUUGAAGACUUCACACAGCCCUUGAGAAGCCUUGACUUGUGUGACUCACGGCAAAGCAUCACGGAUAAGAGGGAAUUGGGGCAACGUAAGGACCUGCUUUGUGAGAGGGAAAUUCCUGUAUAUUUCAUACCUUUUUAUAGUUUUUAGAGCUAUUGUCAUCCCCCUUUUGCAGGUCUGCACCCCAGUCACUGCCUGUAAGAAGAGUAUGUAGAAAGCAUGUGAGACCUUCGUUUCUCACUAUAAACAGAACAAAGAACAGAAGCAGACAAGCUUACCUCUGAUGUGUUCUGAGCAAGGGGAAAGCUAGGGCUGCAGGUGAAAGACGGUAGGUGGGGGAUGCCUGCAGGAUCUGUGAAAAAAAAGAAAGGGUGCAAAGGAUGGAUGGGAGCCCCUCUCUGCCUUCCAUUCCUUGUGAUUUCUUCCAGAAUCCCAACCUGAUGAAUGUUGUGACCACAGAUGUGAUAAUAACGCAUCUAUCCAGUCUCUAACAAGGAAAGUUCUCUGUCUGCUUGGAGCACAAUGACCUGCGUUGUUUCUGCCCUGCCUCCAGCUUCAGACAAUGAAACCGAACCAAACCAAAUCACAUACACACAAGCUGAUCUGUGAAGAACAACUGAGUUCCCAUUGUCUUCCAGUGCAAAAUGGCAUUGUCUUAAUAUCUGAGGUAUCAUCAGGCUGUCAGCUUCUGUAUUAUGCCUCACUGAGUAGAAAUGCUGGCAGACAUAAAUGAAAGAGUUGGUGGGUUGCACUGAGGAGAGGCAGGGGUGGGUAUCGAAACAAGGGACUCACCACUGGGGCUUGUGUGCAGAAGGCUAAUGAAUGGGCUCAGGGACACUGUGGGGAUGCUCCAGCCAUGGGCAGCUGAAAAAAAGAAUUCAGAAAGGUUUGUAUUCCUGUAAAGAAGUCUGGAAGGGCUGAAAGAAAAGGUUUUUAUGAAUCUGUAUCUGAAGACAUUGCUAGUCCCCACCCAUACUAAUUUUGUCAUCUCUAAUCUGGUGUGCUUUUGUCCACCUGAACGUCCAGCUGACUCAUUCCAGCCUGACACUAAGUCAACACAAAAACAUUGGAAAGGACUGGAGAGCUCAGCCUGAAAUAUGUGAAUUCAAAUCCUUACCUGACAGUAGAUAUGCACCUCUAUCUACAUUAAUGUACACUGCAUUUAACAUUUUCACUGAAUUUAGCAUUGGUGCGGCCUCACUUGGGAUAUUGUGUCUACUUCUGAGUUCUGCAGUUUAAGAAGGAUGUUAAUAUGCAUCUCUCUACCCAUGCGAGCUUCUGCAUUAGUUAUUGGAGAUCUAGUAGCACAGUAGCUAGAGCAGCAUGCAGCUUGCUGCAGGUGUUAAAAAGUUCAGCAUAAAUCUGCCUUGAGAGCUAAGUGAAAGAAAGCUGCAACCUCCAAGGCUACAAUGAUGGUGAUGUCCUAGCUCCCUUAAUCCACGCUGUACUCAAGUCAUUGCAGGAAAAGACAUACUCUUAAGGCAAUCUUAAAACUAUUGAUUAUGCUGAUGGUGAGAGGUGAGAUGGGAAUU